UCCUAACUUGAGCUUGCCACAUUUGGUUACGAGACACGCGAGAGCCAAUGGCAUUUGACAUUGGUGACGUCAAACCUGUGUCAUAAAUAUUUCUUGAGGUGGAAUUUUUUUUUUCCAUGUUAAAAUGAGUGCAGGAUUUGUUAAGGCUGACACCAGUGGACCAUGAAUGUUGAAUAAAGACUUGAGUCUGUUCUUCACACAAAGCCAUCGGAAGACUUGGAAUUCACCCUGAAAGAAACAGGCCACAACAGCAGAGCAGAAUACUGGUGAAGCAGAACCGCACAGAUGCAGAUCACUCAUUGCCUUGACUGACCUUAAUGGUUUGCCAGAAGACAGCACUUGCAAAACAUAAUAAGCAAGGGUGAAGCAGAACCGCACAGAUGCAGAUCACUCAUUGCCUUGACUGACCUUAAUGGUUUGCCAGAAGACAGCACUUGCAAAACAUAAUAAGCAAGCCAGGUCCUUAAUGACAGGAUCCGAACCCGGGUCUCUGAAAAGCCAGGUCCGUGAUGAGAAGAUCCGAACCCAGGUCUCCCUCGCUACUGACACAAAACACUUCGGGUCGUGCCACAAGGGAAGGUUAACAAACUGGAGCCGAUGCAAAAAUGUCUGAUAGGAGAUGCCGCUUGUCAGUGAUUUUGAGCUGAGAGGGACACGAGGGGGAGGAGGACAGAGAACAGAUGUCAAAGACAACAAUGAGGCAAUUCUUGCUCAGUUGGGUGUGAGAUGGUUUUCUGAAGGAGCAGGUGUUCUGAAUUGCCUGAGACUAGAGCUGGAAUGAGCAGCCCAUAAAAAGGCCCUUCUCCCCAGUGUGUUGGCCUCCCCUCACCAGCACCUUGAGAUGUUUGCUUUGGUUUUCCCUGAUUUUUUUUGUUCUUUAUUUUUCUUUUCUUUUCAUUUCUUUUUCUUAUUACAUAUUUUGAUUAUGUUACUUUGACUUUAAAAUAAAUAAUAUUUUCUGUUUAAAUCUUAUCCACGUGUGGCCUCGCCUUCAUGUUACUCUGCCUUGUGCUGUGUGGUUUGUAACAUAUGGGGGCUCGUCGUCCGAGAUUGUAGCUGGGAUCAGGUCAGUAAUACCCUUAGGAAUAUUUUUCACAACACACUACGUGAGAUGUAUUGUGUUAAAAUCUGGGUUACAGUAUGAAUGGGGCCAAUCCGUAAAUGUUAAAAUAAUCAAUACAAAAGUAUAGCCACAAGACUCAAACAACACACGUGUUAACAUGAUUUCAGUGAUAUAAAAUCUCUGUUUAAUAUGUUUUUUUUUUUUUUUUUGUGAUGAAAUCUUGGCAACAAAGUUGUUAUAUUGGAAAUGUAACUUCACAAAUAUGUUUAGUAAGUAUUUUAUCAAACUAAAAUCAUAGAGGGAGCUUUUUUUUAAUUUUGAGAUUGAUUACAUUGUGAUUUUGAGGGGUACAUUGAUUGUCAGAGAUGUCUCAUUGCAAUCAAACUGAUAAACUAUGCUGCAAUGCUAUCCUUAUGAUCAUCAAAAGAGAGUGAA